GGCUGGUCCGAGUGCAGCAGUGUUUACAACUAAUUGAUCACAACCAGUUACAGAUUUCUUUGUUCCUUCUCCACUCCCACUGCUUCACUUGACUAGCCUUUA
ensembl:Y_RNA Y_RNA Y RNA